CACCCAACCCAGCCGAGCCACCCCAAAUCCCAAUUCCCAAUCCUCAACAGGCCAACCCCGUCUCUCUCCUCAGCGACCGUGCUCGCUUCCUCCUCCCUCGAAUCGGCUCCACCCCCGCGCCGCGAUAAGAAAACCCACCAAACCCUAACCCUAGCAGCAGUGCCACCACCGCCCGCGUCCCCGGCUCCCGGCCCCCCCCGGAGAGGAAGCCGAGCCAGCAAGGAUGCCGUCCGGGUCGGCCACGCAAUUCCGGUACACGCAGACGCCGUCCAAGGUGCUGCACCUGCGGAACAUGCCGUGGGAAUGCACCGAGGAGGAGCUCGUCGAGCUCUGCAAACCCUUCGGCAGGGUCGUAAACACCAUGUGCAACGUCGGCGCCAACCGCAACCAGGCCUUCGUCGAGUUUGCAGAUCAAAACCAGGCAAUUUCAAUGGUGUCCUAUUAUGCUUCAUCUUCAGAACCUGCUCAAGUUCGUGGUAAAACUGUAUAUAUCCAAUAUUCAAACAGGCAAGAAAUUACCAACAAUAAAGGCACUGGUGAUUCUUCUGGCAAUGUCCUACUUGUCACUUUUGAAGGUGUUCAGCCUAAUGAUGUUACCAUAGAAGUCAUUCAUUUGGUAUUUUCAGCAUUUGGGUUUGUUCACAAGAUAGCUACAUUUGAGAAAGCGGCUGGUUUCCAGGCGCUUAUCCAGUAUACUGAUGCCCCAACUGCUCUUGAAGCUAAAAACUCAUUGGAUGGAAGAAGCAUCCCAAAAUAUUUACUUCCAGAACAUAUCAGUGCCUGCCACAUGCGCAUCACCUUUUCUGCGCAUAAGGAUUUGAACAUCAAAUUUCAGUCGCAUCGCAGCAGGGAUUACACCAAUCCUUAUCUUCCUGUGAAUCAAACAGCAAUUGAGGGGAUUGUGCAGCCCACAGUAGGCCCUGAUGGGAAGGUAAAGGAGCCUGAGAGCAAUGUACUUUUAGCAUCAAUUGAGAACAUGCAAUAUGCUGUGACGGUGGAUGUUCUGCACACUGUGUUCUCUGCUUUUGGUAGUGUUCAAAAAAUUGCAAUGUUUGAGAAGAAUGGUGGAAUGCAGGCUCUAAUCCAAUAUCCAGAGAGGUGUCGGAGUUCGUGAAGGCUUAAAAUGGACAUCUGCAACUUUCCGCAGCUAUAAAGUUGCCUUUAAUAUAACAACCGCAGCCGUUGCUAAACAAGCUUUGGAGGGACACUGCAUAUAUGAUGGUGGUUACUGUAAGCUUCAUCUGUCAUACUCUCGUCAUACUGAUCUCAAUGUAAAGGCGCAUGAUGAGAGAAGCAGGGACUACACUCUUUCAGACCCUAACGCGCAGCUGCAAGCUGCUGCACAAGCGCCAGUUCUAAGCUCUCCGGGAGUGGCAUGGCAGAACACUGCAUCAGCACCAGCUGCUCCUUUUUAUGCAAGCACAGCGGCUUCAACUCCUGUUGGACAAGUGCCAGCUUGGAAUCCUAACAUGCAGGCAGGGGGUUUUGCAUCUGCAUCGACUGCGUACCCCAACCAACCAUUAAUGACCAACUCCAUGCCUCACUAUCCUGCUAUUGGAUCGAGUUCCGGUGCCCCGCCAGUAUCGUUUCAGGUUUCACAGCAGAUGCCACAGUAUGGCAUGCCCCCUGGUGCUCCGCCGCAUGCACCACCAGCUGGCCAACCAAUGUACUUCCCGAAAUAAGUGGUUUUGGUUCAGUAUUGUCAGAGAGCAAUCACAGCACAGUACCUGCAACAAUUGUGGUCCGCAAAUGCCAUCUUCAAAAUUUUGGAAGUGCAUUGUAGCUCUUUGAUGUAGCUCUUGUAACUUGCGAGCACCCUUCGCAAGAAUACCUCAGCGCUGGCUGUCUGUAAAACUGUCAAAAAUAGUGUUAACAUAUUAGCCUGCAUGGUAUAUUGUUGGUUUUGAUCUCAAUGUCGAGUUGUUUUGAUGCCU